rnacentral:rRNA from 1 species
UUAAGCUACAAAGAGCGUAGGGAGGAUACCUAGGCACCAAGAGCCGAAGAAGGACGUGAUAAGCUGCGAAAAGCUAUGGUAAGGAGCAAAUAUCCUAUGACCCAUAGAUAUCCGAAUGAGGAAACUCAUCCACAGAAAAAAGUGUGGAUAUCCAUAUAUGAGUAAAGUAGUAUAUAGGAAGGGAACGCAAGGAACUGAAACAUCUUAGUACUUGUAGGAAGAGAAAGAAAAAUCGAUUCUGUGAGUAGUGGCGAGCGAAAGCGGAAGAGCCCAAACCAAUGUUGCUUGCAACGUUGGGGUUCGGACUACAUAAUCCAUUUAUCGAGCGAAUAAGAAUUGUUUGGGAAGGCAAAUCAUAGAAGGUGAAAAUCCUGUAUUAGAAGUGAGAUAGAGGAGGUAGUAUCCAGAGUAGUGCGAGGCACGUGAAACCUCGUAUGAAAGAGCGGGGACCACCCCGUAAGGCUAAAUACUACUUGGUGACCGAUAGAGAUUAGUACCGUGAGGGAAAGGUGAAAAGAACCCCGGGAGGGGAGUGAAAUAGAACAUGAAACCCUAUGCUUACAAACAGACAAAGCACGUUAAGGUGUGAUGUCGUACUUUUUGUAGAACGGUCCAGCGAGUUAUUGUAUAUGGCAAGGUUAAGCACUAUGUAAGGUGUGAAGCCGAAGCGAAAGCGAGUCUGAAAAGGGCGUAUAAGUCAUAUGUAAUAGACCCGAAACCGGGUGACCUAACCAUGGUCAGGAUGAAGCUUGAGUAAAAUCAAGUGGAGGUCCGAACUGAUAAGCGUUAAAAAGCUUCCGGAUGAACUGUGGUUAGCGGAGAAAUUCCAAUCGAACUCGGAGAUAGCUGGUUCUCCUCGAAAUAGCUUUAGGGCUAGCCUUGAGGUAAAAGAAUUAUGGGGGUAGAGCACUGAAUGAGGUAGGGGCCAAACCAGGUUACUGAACUCUAUCAAACUGCGAAUACCAUAAUUAGAAUACUCAGGAGUCAGACUGCGGGAGCUAAGUUCCGUGGUCAAAAGGGAAAGAGCCCAGAUCGUCAAUUAAGGUCCCAAAGAUAUAGCUAAGUGGGAAACGAUGUGAAAUUGCGUAAACAACCAGGAUGUUGGCUUAGAAGCAGCCAUACAUUUAAAGAGUGCGUAAUAGCUCACUGGUCGAGUGAAUUUGCGCGGAAAAUUACCGGGGCUAAGCUAUACACCGAAAUUGCGGGUUAUGAUGUAUCUAAUAAUGUGUAUCAGAAGGGUACAUAUUAUUAGAUACAUUGUAGCGGUAGAGGAGCAUUCUGUAGUAGGGAGAAGUAUGAUCGAAAGGACAUAUGGACGAGGCAGAAGAGAGAAUGCUGGAAUAAGUAGCGAGAGCAAAGUGAGAAUCUUUGCCGUCGAAAGUCUAAGGUUUCCUGGGGAAGGUUCGUCCGCCCAGGGUAAGUCGGGACCUAAGGUGAGGCCAAGGAGGCGUAGCCGAUGGAUAGCAGGUAUAAAAUUCCUGCACUACCGAAAUACUUAAAAACGAUAAGGGACGCAGGAGAGGAAGGAAAUCCGGGAAGAGGAAAAACCGGAGCCGAAAGGCAUAGUGAAAAUUUAAAGUAACGAAGUUCCAAGAAUCACACUGACGAGAAAAGCUUAUUGACAUUGUAUUAAGGUACCCGUACCGCAAACCGACACAGGUAGAUGAGGAGAGGAUCCUAAGACGAGCGAGAGAAGUACUGUUAAGGAACUCGGCAAACUAACCCCGUAACUUAGGGAGAAGGGGUACCUAUGUAAAAGUAGGUCGCAGAGAAGAGUCCCAAGCAACUGUUUAACAAAAACACAGGUUUCUGCUAAAUCGAAAGAUGAAGUAUAGGAGCUGACGCCUGCCCAGUGCUGGAAGGUUAAGGGAAAGAGUUAGAUGUAAGUCGAAGCUUAGAACUAAAGCCCCAGUGAACGGCGGCCGUAACUAUAACGGUCCUAAGGUAGCGAAAUUCCUUGUCAGGUAAGUUCUGACCCGCACGAAAGGCGUAAUGAUUUGGGCACUGUCUCGACAAUGUACCCGGCGAAAUUGUAGUACUAGUGAAGAUGCUAGUUACCUGCGACAAGACAGAAAGACCCCAUGGAGCUUUACUGUAGCUUGAUAUUGGGUUUCGGUAAUUUAUGUACAGGAUAGGUGGGAGACUAUGAAGCAAGAGCGUCAGCUUUUGUGGAGUCACCCUUGGGAUACCACCCUUAAAUUAUUGGAAUUCUAACCUGUGAUCAUGAACUGGUCAGGGGACAAUGUCAGGCGGGCAGUUUGACUGGGGCGGUCGCCUCCUAAAGAGUAACGGAGGCGCCCAAAGGUUUCCUCAACCCGGACAGAAAUCGGGUGAAAGAGUGCAAAGGCAGAAGGAAGCUUAACUGAAAGACAGACAUGUCGAGCAGAUACGAAAGUAGGGCUUAGUGAUCCGGUGGUAUGUGAGUGGAAAUGCCAUCGCUCAACGGACAAAAGUUACCCUGGGGAUAACAGGCUUAUCUCUCCCAAGAGUUCACAUCGACGGGGAGGUUUGGCACCUCGAUGUCGGCUCAUCGCAUCCUGGAGCGGAAGUACGUUCCAAGGGUUGGGCUGUUCGCCCAUUAAAGCGGUACGCGAGCUGGGUUCAGAACGUCGUGAGACAGUUCGGUCCUUAUCUGUCGCAGGCGCAGGAUAUUUGAAGGGAGUUGUCCUUAGUACGAGAGGACCAGGAUGAACAUACCGAUGGUGCAACAGUUGUCACACCAGUGGCAUAGCUGUGUAGCUAAGUAUGGAAGGGAUAAACGCUGAAAGCAUCUAAGUGUGAAGCCCACCCUAAGAUAAGAUAUCCCACAACGUUAAGUUGGUAAGAUACCAGGAAGACUAACUGGUUGAUAGGUUGGAGGUGUAAGUGCAGUAAUGCAUUAAGCUGACCAAUACUAAUAUAUCGAGGGCUUAACCAU